CUUUUUGCACAGAUAAAGAGACUGGAGUUCACAGCUCUGUUUCCCAUUCUCCUUUGACACAAGCAGUGCCUGAGACUUACCAGCUGGAAGUCAGCCAGAGCUUUGAACUCUUCCUUCUCCUUCUUCCUGCUUCAAAGUCAGCACUUGCUGUUAAAGUUUCUGUUUCUUCACCAUGACCUAAUAGACAAUGUUGGAACUUCACCAGGGAGGUCACAAAGUAAGCUUAUUAUUUAUAAAACUCUUGUACUGAAGACCCUCCAGCACCAGAAUCCCCCCCAGCUGGACCUUCCAGCAGCCGGUGACACCCAGCACAGCCCUGAGUCAUGGUGCAGCAUCAUCAAUCUCUAGUCAAAGGUUCUGUAACAGCAUCAGGACACACAGGAGAGGAAGACCUCAGGAAAGACCCAGCUUGUGCAAUCACUUUGCCCAUCCCAUCCCUGCUCCAGUUCUGGUGGGGUCAAGAUUACCACUCCUGCUGAGGGCCCCAUGAGUGAUAUGAAGGAAAAGGCCCUGACCUGAGGGAGUAACAAUCGUCUUUGAAAAUCCUACAGAGGCCAUUAAUAACUUACUUUCUGAGAUACAUGGAGAAUGUCAGUUUCCUGUUGCUUGAGACAGAAAAACAAAAAGUGGGGAUUUUGUGAACACAGUAGAUAUUUCAGUUGGAAGAAAUCAGAUAUAUAAAAACCACUGAGUUUCAGAAGGGGAAAUUAAAAAUAUUUCUCAUGAAAAAUUUAGUUCAGAUUUAUUUAAGCAAUUACCAGGCUAAUUCAGUUGCCAUCAGAAAAGUUAUUUAAAACUAGCAUUCUAAAUAAAAUCCUUAAAAAGAGACAGAAGGGGCCCUAGUCCUGUAGCAUUGCUGCUUAGGCAAAGCAUUCAAAAUUCAAAUCAGACUAUUAAAUGCAAAAAGAUAAAGAAUAAUGCAAAGUGAUAGCUUUAUUUGCCUCUUCCAGUUUUCCUAUACAGAUAUAAAAUAUGUUUAAAACUCUGGUACUUUAUUACCUCUUUAGUUACCUCUCAUUUAUAGUUAAAUCUUGGAUACAUAUUCCUAACCAUAACAGGGGUGUGGUAGAAAGUUGAGCUUGAGUGACAAUAACAAGCUUAAAAUUAUAAACAUAAGAUGCUUUAUAUACAACCAGUGCAUAGUGGGAAAUAGUGGGCUGUAUACACCUCUCUCUCUUCCCUUUGCUGAGCAGAUAAAUCAGCAGUGCUAUUCCUAGACCUUAAAUCAAAUAGGUAAUUAAUUUGUUUAAUUUAGUAAUACCUGGAGCUUUAAAAUGUGAGAUUAAAAGAUGAUUUCACAGAAUCACAGAAUGUUAGGGAGUGGAAGGGACCUCAAAAGAUCAUCCAGUCCAACCCCCCUGCCAGAGCAGGAACACCCAGAUGAGGCUAUACAGGAAUGUGUCCAGGCAGGUUUUGAAUGUCUGCAGAGUAGAAGACUCCACAACCCCCCUGGGCAGCCUGUUCCAGUGUCUGUCACCCUCACUGAGAAAAAGUUUCCUCUCAUAUUUAAGCAGACCCUCCCGUGUUCCAGUUUGUACUCACUGCCCCCUGUCCUAUCACUGGUUGUCACCGAGAAGAGCCUGACUCCAUCCUCUUAACAUUCACCCUUUAUAUAUCUGUAAACACUAAUGAGGUCACCCCUCAGUCUCCUCUUCUCCAAGCUAAAGAGCCCCAGCUCCCUCAGCCUUUCCUCAUAAGGGAGAUGCCCCACUCCCUUCAUCAUCUUCGUUGCCCUACGCUGGACCCUCUCCAGCAGUUCCCUGUCCUUCUGGAACUGAGGGGCCCAGAACUGGACACAAUAUUCCAGGUGUGGUCUCACCAGGGCAGAGUAGAGGGGAAGGAGAACCUCUUUUGACCUACUAACGGUUUAGAGAAGUAACUAAGUUGCACAACUCUGCAAAACUCUGACUUGGUUUUACUUUUUAUGCCUAAUUUAAUCAAUUGCUGCAGUCACUGUGUGAGAGGAAGAUGCUCACCUAUUUCAGCACUGCUAAAGCUCCAGCUAUACUACAGAUCUUCCAAAGAAUGAGAAACCAGCUGCCUAGAGGAAAGGAGCACUCCUCUCUGUUCAUGACAGCCACACAGAUCAGCCACAUGUAGUUACCUUUGACAUAAAUUCUAGUGUUCCUUCUGGCCUAGAAGACAAAACGGAAGGAAAGAAAAUGGCGAUUUGUCUUCAAAAAGUACUGGCUUAAGAGAUUUAUCAAAUUUUGAUUACUGGGACAUCAGGUAUCGAUUCUAUAAUUAUGCAGACAAGACACAAUCAAUGUACAUCAGGAUUUGACUCAGUAAUAAUUACACAUUGAGAAAUGCAUUGGUUGCAUUUUUAAAGUAUUUUCAUCGUUUUCCUAAGAAUUCCAGCAUUAUGGACUACGGCCUCUUGGCUGCAAUUGGGGAAGAGCUUAUCCUCUGAAUCAGACCCUCAAUAUUUCCAAUCAAAAAGCCAUUACACUGUAUUGCUGCAGCACUCUGCUUCUCAACAAGGAUUAUUAGCUUGGGCAAAGCCUCGUGCUGAUGCAACAGCAGAGUUUCUAGUUUAGACCAGGUCUGCAUCUGAAUGGCUUAACACACAAGCAGAGUGUUGCUGGGAAAAAAAAAAAAAAGCUAGGGAAGGCUAAUUUUUCUUUUGCUUUCCUAUGUUUUAUUAAUCAGGACCAUUCUAGCAGGGAAGCACUUCCAGAAAGCACAUAAGUCGGCAAAUUUGACAUUGCCUCCCAGUGAACAACCAGGCUGACGUUAUGUUGUAAAUUAUCCUCCAGUAUGGCAAGCGAGAAACUCUCCAGCUUAAAAAUUGUCAUGGAAUUAAAGGCUGAAGAAUGUCUCAAACCUCAGUAACAUCACAUAUUCUGUAACAGCCUGCAAGACGUGGCAGAUGUACCACUCUGCACCCUCAUAAUGUCUGUGCCAGUGAGACUUUCCAGAUAAGACACAUCAUACUCCGUGACUUGUCACUCCUAACCAGAGGAGUUCCAUCAGUGCUUGCUAAACUAAAAGAUUACUGUAAAAUGACAAAAGAGCUACAUUUCCUCCUACAAGAACUAAACUCACUGCUUCUUCUAUGGUUCCACCCUACAGCAGCCUAAAAAGUAUUUGAACUCUGGAUGUGAACUUGGAUGCCAGCACUCACAUUUGUUAAAAUAAACACUAUGUGGCCUAUGGCUGAUAUACCACUAAAAUCCAGUAGGCACAAGAAAGUAGGUAGGUUGCUAUUAAACCGAAUCCAAUUGCAUUUCCCUGGGUUUCCCAGAAGUAUUUAUUUCACAUUAGUGCUGCAUUAGAGCCCACAAAAGGUAGAGUUAUAAACACAAUUUUAAGAGAUUUAAAAUAUUUAUAGACUGCGGUUUCAUGAUUACAAUAAAACCUAUUGCGCUUUUGGGGCAACUCCAUUGUUCAGGUCUUCAGCUCUUUGAGCACUUUUCUAUUAUUAACAGGAAAUUGGCAAGUAAUUUAAUGGUUCUUUAAAACACUAUGAGCAAACUGUUGAAGUGAGCCCAUAUAACUCUGGAAGGAAUUUGUGCAUGUUCUUCUAGAUAGUUUGACUCCAAAGAUUACCUUCUCCUUACUCAUCACUUCUGGCUCUAAAGCUAAAUUUGCAUAGCUUACUCAGAAAUGGAGUAAAAGAACAUGGAAGAAGCAUCUGGCUGCAUUCAAGCCUCUGUGGAGCUUUACAGCUUCUCUCAAGUCCUCAGCGCACAUUUUACAACAUUGCAGCCUCUCAGUUUUGGCAAACUGGUGGGUACAUUUUAGAGAAUCAGAGAGGGAUAACUAAUUCAUAUCAUCUUUGCACUGCUCUGUUACUAAGAUUUUUCUGUUACUGUGAUUUCUGCUAAUUGUGACCCCAACAUACACACACACACAUAUAUAUUUGCAGGGAAAUUUUGUUUGUUUAGGGGUUUUUGAGUAAAAGUUUUAAAGGGCAUGUAAUCAACUCUGCUCAUAACCAGAAGUGAUCUCUCAGGCUAUUCCGUAGAAAGAUGGUCAACAGCAUUUUGGCUUUCAAUUUCAAGCACCAAAUUAACCUUCUGAUUUUGUAUGAGAAGGGCAGCAUCAAGAACAAAUAGGCACACCAUUUAUCUAACUGUGCAAAAAGCAGUCUCCUAAUUAAUUGUAAUUAAGUGGAAAUACUGAGAUGUCUUGUCUGGCACUGAUUGUUAACAUCAGGAAAUUACUGUUUGGGGGUAGAAAGUAAUAGAUUUUAAACUACAAACAGACUACACUAGGAACUGACUCACCCCCUAGAGAGACAGCGUCAAGCAAUUCUUGUUUCUUACAGGAGGCAGAGGUGCUAAACCCCACUUUGUCAGGUGCUGUGAUAAACAUGGGUGAUGAGAACAGCACUUCUCCCUUUACUGGGAUUGAGCCAAGUCAUGGCUUCCCUAGAAAUAUGCUUCUUUUCUCAGUAGUGUUUAUAAGGACAGGGGUGGUAUUACAGAAAUGCAUAUCAAAUUCAAUUGAUUCUUCAGAAAAAAAAAAUACAGAACCUGCAUAUUUUUUAUUUCUAAAAUUCAAUUUUUUAAAAUGUUAGCUUCAGAUCAGAGCAUAUAAAAUUACUUCAUUUCAUUUCAAACCAAAGGAAACCUCAAGAUCUAAGCAUUUCUGCAGCUAAAAAGAAGCCCAUUGCACCAUCUGCUGGACUCUUUCUAAACCAAGUUCUGAAAGAAGACAACUCUGUCCACAGGUACAGGCUGCUUAUUUCAUACCCUGAUCUCAGGCGGGAGCACUGUGUCAAAAUGCAGCACCUGCAAGCUUGUAAAACCACCCUGAGAUUCAGCAUUUCUGCUCUAAUAUAGAAGCGAAGCUGCAGUUUACCAGCACCAAGGGUAAUACUGUGAACACUAUCUGGUUUGAUAUGACAACCUCUUAAAAAGAAGGAUGAACAAGCUCUCCAAAUCACAUUCAGCCAUGACUCUGCAAAGCAGAAAACUGGCUUGCAGCAGGCUUUUUUGUUGGUAUGGGGGGUUUCUUAAAGCAAUUGUCAUACUUCCCAGUGCUGCAAACCUUUCUCCACCUCUUUGAGAGGUUUGUACAUGCAGCUCAUACAAGCUGGCAAUGCAUCUAGUAGAUGGCAUAUAUAAACAAUUUUUGCAUAGGUUAUAAGAUCUGGAAUUGUUAAAAUCUAGGGGUUUAGAAAAUAAGUUUUACAAGUUAACUGGCAGAUCUAGAAGAAUUUAUAUAAAGUUCUAGUACGCUUGUGUCACAAAAAAUCCUGGGUCCUAAAAAAAAAAUUAAUAAUAAUAAUCCUCAAGCCCUGCUAAUAACUCAAAUCCAGGUAGGUUCCUAAAUGGGCUAUGUGGCUACACAACCUGACUCCAGGACUAACAUCACUACGUUCAUGGAGACUGUUUUGAUUUUGCCAGAUAAAAAUUGACCCCAUAUUUUGAUGUUUGUUUCAACCAGAAAAAGCCUACAUGGCUCAAAACUCCCAGUCCUGACGUAGUAAUACACUGCACCAAUCCAUCCAAAUGCUCAAGCAUCCUAUUUAAAAAAUGACACGAGGGGAGGAGGGGUAUUAUAUUUUCACAUUUACAUUUAUCUGCUGUUACAUUUUGGCUGGUAGUUCACUUCAGACACAACUUUUCAGCUGACAGAAGCAAUGGUCACACUUUGAAUUCCAUAAAAUCGUGCCUAUCACCUCCUUGUUCAUUUUAUGCCUUUUCUGUCCCUGAAUGCUUUCUCAGCAAGUCUGAAAAGACAUGAAAGAAGUGUAAUUACUAUAUUCACACGUUUUACAUUUAAAUCUGGACCUUUGAGAAGCAGGUAUUAAAAGUUAACACAAUUAAUGGGGACGAGGAACAGAAAACUUGCUUAAGAACUCCCAAAGACCACACCACAGAGAUUUAAUUUCCCUAUAAAGUGGUUUAGGCAUCACAGCGAUUGAUACUACAGAUAAAGCAGUGAUGGUUGGCAUAUUUGAAAUUUCAAUCAACACUUUUUCCUUGCAUUUGUCUUUCUUGUCCCUAACACAGUGGUCAGACACUCAAAGUCAGUUUAUGCUCAAACACCCUGUUUUUCUCCUUCUAGACUAUGGAGAAGUCACACUUUCAUCAAAACCACAGGUAUAAAUCUCAAGAGCUCUGUAUACUACUGGCCAAAUGGAUAAUUGAACCGUGCUAAGUAAUACUUUACACCAUUUUUCAGUAACAGUAGUAACUGCAAGGUACAUUUCCUUUGCUCUUGGUGAGAUGGGCUCUGAAUGGGGAGAAGAACAUCCUGCCUGGCAACCCCAGGCUAUUCUAGAAAAUGUCACAGAAAACAAUCUUCCAGCCCAAGCCUGUAAUUUUAUUCACCUACAACUCAGCUGACACUGUUGCCCUGGAUUCCUCCUCCUUGUUAGAGAUUAAAAUGGCUAAAGUCAGACAUGAAAUACUAUGCUAUGUCAAAAAUCUGUUUGGGAAUUCAAAACCCAGAGACAACUGGGCUCAGCAAUAGCUCAUACGCCCUACUGACACUCUGAAAUCCUUUUCUCCCUCCAGUCUCUGCAGUAAAACCGGCUUUAAAGCAUUCCUGUAUUUUCAAUGCCGUUGACUGGUUUCUGGUGAGUGUCUUUGCCCUCUCCUCCCCUCCUCCUUCAGUUGCAGAAAGUUCACAGGCACAGAACAUUAAAGCAAGAAACAUCCACAAAAAACGGAAAUCCUAGCUCACCCUGCCUCAUGCAGAUAAUGUAGGCACGAAAAUCAUCCUGAAAAUUCAAGUUUCCAUAAUUUUUCAAGUGCCCCCUUGAGAAACUCCCUAGUAAUCAAAUUGUUCCUAGAUCUGCUGGAGCUUAUUAAGAAACACCUCUGUAAGCAGAAACAAGACCUCUCUGCUGACUGUUUUACCUCAGUGGAGAAUUUGUUGGGUACUAGUCCUAAUUGGCUUCUCCAUAAUCGAGUCCUGACACCGGCUGUGUAUGUGGAGAGGCCUCCAGAGGCUGAAAGACUCUACUGCUGUUGCAAACAUGAAACAGCUUCCAGGAUUUACAAGACUGAGGGCAUUCAGACGGGAUUUAGACAUCCAACCAAAAUCAUGCUGCAAUCAAUCAGCAGGCAGUAACUGCAGGACCUCUAAGAAGUAAACUGGCUAGAAAUGUAUGAGUGAUUAUCAUUUCAAGCAUCUUUUAUUAUGACAUCCCUUAUGUGUAUAUCAGAGUAUGUGGGUACAGCUUAGACACCAAUAUGACCCAGGUAGAAAUCAUACCUAGACAGAAUAAAAUACUAAGUAGUUUUGGCAGCUCUGAGCGGACAAAGCAUUGGUUUGGGUUUAUUAAAUAAGUACUUAGCUGAGAGGCUGAAGAUCUGGGCUCCCCAUUCCUGCAACUGACUUCGUGCCCUAAAACAAAAGUAUUAAGUACACAGUGUAUUUCAUUAGAAUAGAUAUCAUCGUGGAUAGGGGUGUAAAAAUCCCCACUUGACUCUCAGCAUGCAGCAUUGUUGCUGGAAGAUAAAUUUCGAGGUAAGGAUAAUGGGAAACCAGAAUUACAGCUCUACCACAGAUAAGUGCAUCCCUAACUGCCCAGGAGAGACUGGAGUACCAAGCACUACCCAGCUAUCUGGAAAAAAGAGGUAUUUAUUUUCCCUCACAUUUGCUCUGACUGCUUGCCGGGAGUUUGCACACAAUCUCCACAUGGUUUUCCAGACUUCCCAGUCUUCCUGUGUUUACAUCUAUCUAUAUCUCUUAAUCUCAGUGCAUUCAGUAAGGUGUUUGGAGUGUGAUCAGCAC